UUAUGAUCUAAAUAUAAAUAAGUCCACUUCUAAAGAACAUCACAAUUGGCUGAAUUUCCAUGAAUGGAAAUACAAAAUGCAAUAAUUGUCUGGUGCUAUCUGUACUUAUAGGCCAAAAGUUCUUGGUAAAAGAGGAAACAGUCCUACAUUAUUUACUACCAUGUGUUACAGUAGUGAAAAAUGUAUGAGUUGCAAAAAUUUGAUGGUUAGGAUUUCUCAUUACUGAAGUUAAAUUGGUUUCCAAACUAGAUCCUAUCAGACAGAGUGGUCAGUUUGCAUUUUUCCUCCACACAGUGUUGCCCAGGCAACUAUCGCUUCUGAUGGAAGACACCAUCUGAGCGGCACUUCCAAAGGCAUUUUCUGCAGACUAUUUGUACUUCAAAAUGCUAUGGAAGGACAAAAAAUUUUAUAGACAAAUAACUCAGGGCAGUGAUAAAGACUAGAUUUUUUUCACAGACACUUAACCAUGUUUAUUUGUCUUUUUGAAGGUACUGAAAAGUCCUUCGGGAAAGGAACAUGCUUAACUUUGGAAGAUCUGGCAUUUUCAAUUCUAAUUUUUAUAAAAGAUACAUUUAAAAAAUUUUAAAUACUUUUAUGGAAGUACAUUUUACAUGCAGUAUAACACGCAGACUAUAAGUGUAUAAUUUAGUAAGUUUUGAUACAUAUAUACACUUGUGUAAUCACCACCCAAAUCAAGAUGUAACACAUUCCUAUCGACCCUCUAAAAUUCACUCUUACACUGUACCUUCCAGUCAUCAGAAACUACUGUUCUGGUUUCUAUUAUGAUAUAGUUUGUGUAUUUGUCCCCACCCAAAAUCUCAUGUUGAAAUGUCAUUACCAGUAUUAGAGGUGGGGCCUGGUGGGAGGUGAAUGGAUCAUGAAGAUGGAUUUCUCAUGAAUGGUUUACAACCAUACCGUUGGUGCUCUCCUCGUGGCAGAGUGACUUCUCGUGAGAGCCUGCUGUUUAAAAUGUAUGGCACCUCCCUGUCUUUCUCUGCCUCCUGCUUUUGCCAUGUGACAUGCAAAAUCCUACUUCACCUUCCGCCAUGAUUGUAAACUUCUAGAGGCAUGCCCAGAAGCUGAUGCUGGAGCUAUGCUUUCUAUACAGCCUGCAAAACUGGGAGCCAAUUAAGGCUCUUUUCUUACAAAUUACCCAGUCUCACGUAUUUCAUUAUAGUAAUGCAAGAACAGCCUAAUACGAUUACCACAGAUUAUUUUGCCUGUUCUUAUAUUUUAUGUAAAUGGAAUCAUACAGUAUGAAACCUUUCAUUUCUGUUUUCUUUUAUUCAAUAUAUGUUUUGAAUAUUCAUAUAUAUUGUUGCAUGUAUUUAUAUAUCAUUCAUUUAUGUUGCUAGAAAAACAUUCCAUUGUAUGAAUAUAUUAGAGUUUGUAUCCAUUCUCCUGUUGAUGAACAUUUGCAUUGUUUUCAGUUUUGGAUAUCAUGAAUAAAGUCAUUUUGAAUAUAUUGUGAAACGAUUUUUAUGGAUUUAUGCUGUCAUUAAUCUUGGAUAAAUGCCUAUGUGAAACAGGUUGAAAAAUCUCUCAGUUCUGGAUCAUAGCAUUUACUUCUGAGGUAUGGCUGUUUUUGAGUUUCAGUGGAAGACUCUGACGUUUCAAAUACCAAGGCUCUUUACGUUGUUGGGACCCAAUUUGUUCUCCUCUACGGUGAAGCCUUGGUGAGCAGAGCCAGCCAUCUCUGCCACCACCAGCACCAUACUCUGUGUUAACAUUGCACAGAGAACAGGGGAUCCUACCUCACCCUGAGUGACCACUCUUGCUUGCUGGGCACAGAGAAGCCAUCUAGAACUGUGCCCACAAGCACCCUGCCUCCAAGCCAACACCACCUCCAGUACAACCAUGCACAUAAUCACCAGAAGGAGCCCCUCACCCCUUAUUCCAGCUGCAUUGCCUCUGCCAUUGUGGUGAAUACUGACAGGGAGUCAGGCAGUCCAGCACCUACUAGGACUCUGCCACAGCUGCUACUAUGAGACUAGAUCCACUGUCACUGCACUAUGAAACACUUGGCUGACACCACCCAUUGGAGUGCAGUGACCAGCAGUCUGGGAGCACCUCCUUGGCCCCUUCCCCAGUGAAGUGGAUUCCUAUCAUUAAGAAACCAGAGAACAAAGUUGGGACCCAGUACAAAUCUUCCAGAAUUAAAACAUAUAGUCUAGGAGUUGGGGGCUGUGCAUUGGCCCCCUAAAAUCUUCCAGAAAUAAGUCCAGCUGGCUGAAUCAACCUUAUACGAGAAUCAAACCCUCAAAUUCAUCUAAUAGAAAAAAAAGAAAAAUAAUCCAAACUUCAUCUAAUAGAAAAAAAAGAAAAAUAAUCCAAAGGUUGACCCUCUCAAAGAUUGAAGGUAGAUAAGCCCACAAAGAUGAAAAAGAAUCAGCAAAGGAACCCUGACAACUUAAAGAGCCAGAAUGUCUUCUUUUCUUCAAAUAACUGCAUCACCUCUCUAGCAAGGGUUCUGAACCAGGCUGAGAUGGCUGAAAUGACAGAAAUAGAAUUCAAAAUAUGAAUAGAAAUGAAGAUUGUUGAAUUACAGGAGUACCUUGGAACCCAAUCCAAGGAAGCUAAAAAGUAUAAUAAAACAAUGCAGAAACUGACUGACAAAAUAGCCAGUAUAGAAAAUAAUGUAACUGACUAAUAGAGCCAAAAAAUACACUACAAGAAUUUCAUAGUGCAAUUACAAGUAUUAGUGGCAGAACAGACCAAGCAAAGAAAAGAAUCUCAGAGUUUGAAUACUGGCUUUCUGAAAUAAGACAGUCAGACAAUAAUAGAGAAAAAAGAAUGACAAGAAAUGAACAAAACCUCUGAGAAAUGUGGGAUUAUGUAAAGAUACCAAAUCUAUGAUUCACUGGUGUGUCUGAAAGAGAUGGGGAGAAUGAAACCAACUUGGAAAACAUAUUUCAGGAUAUCAUCCAUGAGAAAUUCCCCAACCUAGAUAGAGAGCCCAACAUUCAAAUUCAGGAAAUUCAGAGAACCCUGUAAGAUACUUCAAAAAAGAUCCUCCGCAAGACACACAAUCAGCAAAUUUUCUGAGGUUGAAAUGAAAGAAAAAAUGUUAAAGGCAGCUAGAAAGAAAGGUCAGGCCAUUUGCAAAGGGAAGCUCAUCAGACUAACAGCAGACCACUCAGCUGAAACCCUGGAAGACAGAAGAGAUUGGGAGCCUAUAGCCAACUUUCUUAAAAGAAAUUCCAAUCCAGAAUUUUAUAUCUGGUCAAACUAAGCUUCAUAAAUGAGGAGAAAUAACAUCCUUUUCAGACAAACAAAUGCAGAGGGAAUUUGUUAUCACCAGAACUGCCUUACAAGAGUUGUUGAAGGAAGACCAGUGAUACUAUAAAGCAACCACAUAAACAAUUCUGCAAAAUAACCAGCCAACAUCAUGAUGACAGGAUCAAAUCCACACAUAUCAAUACUAGCCUUGAAUGUAAAUGGGCUAAAUUUCCCAAUUAAAAGACACAGAGUGGCAAGCUGAAUAAUGAACCAAGACCCAUUGGUAUGCUGCUUUCAAGAGACCCAUUUCUUGAUGGGUGAAAUGACACACAUGGGCUCAAAAUAAAGGGAUGGAGAAAAAUUUACCAAGAAAACGGGGUUGCAAUCCUAGUUUCUGACAAAACAGUCUUUAAGUGAACAAAAUUAAAAAAAGACAAAGAAGGACAUUGCAUAACAGUAAAGGGUUUAACACAACAAGAAGAUUUAACUGUCUUAAAUAUAUAUGCAACCAACACAGGAGCAACCAGAUUCAUAAAGCAAGUUCUUAGAGACCUUAAAAAAGACUUAGAUUUGCACACAAUAGUAGUGAGAGACUUUAAUUCCCCACUGACAGUAGUAGACAGAUCACAAAGAUAUUCAGGACCUGAACUCAGCACUGGAUCAAAUGGACCUGGUAAACAUCUACAGAACUCUUCAUCAAAAGCCAACAGAACACACAUUCUUCUUAUCUGCACAUACUCUAAAACUGAUCAUGUAAUUGGAAGUAAAACACUUCAGAGCCAGUGCAAAAGAACUGAAAUCAUAACAAACAAUCUGUCAGACCACAGUGCAAUUAAACUAGAAAUCAAGAGUAAUAAAUUUACUUAAAACUAUGCAAUUACAUGGAAAUUGAAUAACCUUCUCUUGAAUGACUUUUAGGUAAAUAAUGAAAUUAAAGCAGAAGUCAAGAAGUUCUUUCAAACUAAUGACAACAAAUAUACAUCAGACCAGAAUCUCUGGGACACAUCUAAGGCAGAGUGUUAAGAGGGAAAUUUAUAGCACUAAAUAUCCACAUCAAAAGUUAGAAAGAUCUCACAUUAACAACCUAAUAUCACAAUUAAAAGAACUAGAUAACCAAGAGCAAACACAACCAAAACUAGCAGAAGACAAGAAAUAACCAAAAUCAGAGACGAACUAAAAGAGAUGAAGGGAGAAGAAAACAUUCAAAAAAUCCACAAACCCAGACACCUGUCUUUCAAAAAAAAUUAUAAAAUAGAUAGACUGCUAGCUAGACUAAUAAAGAAGAAAAGAGAAGAUUCAAAUAAACACAAUCAGAAACAAGGGAGAUAUUACCAUUGAUCCUACAGAAAUACAAACAACCUCAUCAGAGAAUAUUAUGAACAUCUAUGCACAUAAAAUAAAAACUCUAGAAGAAAUGGAUAAAUUGCUGGAUUCAUACAGCCUCUUAAGACUGAACCAGGAAGAACUGAAUCCCUAAACAGACCAAUAACAAGCUCUGAAAUUGAGUCAGUAAUAGCCUACAAACUAAAAAAAGCCCAGGAACAGAUGGAUUCACAGGUGAAUUCUACCAGAUGUACAAAGAAGAGCUGGUACCAUUCUUGCUGAAGCUAUUACAAAAAAAUUGAGGAGAAGGGACUCCUCCCCACCUCAUUCUAUGAGGUCAGUAUCAUUCUGAUAUCAAAACCUGGCAAAGACAUAACAGAAAAAGAGAAAACUUUAGGCCAAUAUUCUUGAUGAACUUUGAUGAAAAAAUCUUCAAUGAAAUACUGGCAAACUAAAUCCAGCAGCAUAUCAAAGAGCUUAUCCAUCAAGAUCAAGUAGGCUUUAUCCCUGGAAUGCAAGGAUAGUUCAACAUACACAAGUCAAUAAAUGUGAUUCAUCACGUAAAGAGAAUUAAGGACAAAAAAUACAUCAUUUCACAAUACAUGCAGAAAAGGCUUCUGAUAAAUUUUAACACCACUGCAUGUUAAAAACUCCUAGUAACUAGGUAUUAAAGGCAAAUACCUCAAAAUAAUAAGAGCCGUCUGUGACAAACCCACAGCCCAUAUCAUACUGAACGGCAAAAGCUGGAAGCAUUUCCAGUGAAAACUGGCACAAGAAAAGAAUGCCCUCUUUCACCACUUCUAUUCAACAUAGCAGCCAGCACUGGCACUCACAACUGCCUAACACAUUAGCUCUCUGGGUUGGGGAAGGGCAGCAUGCAUCUCUAUAGCUCCAGGCUGUGCUUUUCCCCUGCUGGAGCCAAGGGGCUGGAUGGCUUGGCCCCAAGAUGUGUUGCCAACAGCCCACCAAACCAGCUGUGGCAGAUUACAGCCAGAGUGCCUUUUCAGGCCUGACCAUGACUCAUCCUUCCUCACUGCACAGGCCUUCCCUGAAGGAACUCCAUUAACUCCAGCUAGAGGCUCAGGGACAGAACCCAGAUCUCCCUGGGCCUGAGCCCCUAGGGAGAGGGCUGGCCCCAGUCUCUGCUGAUCAGCAGACUUCGCCUUUCCUCCUUCUAGUUCUGAGGAAUCUGGGCAGCCCAGAUGAGCGAGUUUACCCCCAGCAAAGCACACCCUCUCCACCAAGGGACAAAGUGCUUCGUUAAACGGGUCCUAUUCCCCUGGACACCCAACUGGGUGAGACCCUCCAACAAGGAUUGUCAGACACCCUAUACAGGAAUGAUUCUACUGGCAUCAGAUUGGUGCCCCUUGAGGUCAGAGAUUCCUGAAGAAGGAGUAGGCACUCAUCUUUGCUAUUAUCCAGCCUCCUUGAGUGACAUUUUCAGAUGCAGGUACAAACCAGAUGAAGAGGUCCUGAAGUGAAACGCCAGCAAACCACAGCAGCCCUACAGAAGUGGGACUUGAUUAUUGAAAGAAAAACAAACAAGCAGAACAUGACAACAAUAAAAAAGCCCCCACAAAAACUGCAUUCAAGGGUCAGCAUCCUCAAACAUUGAAACUAGACAAACUCACAAAGGUGAGAAAGAAUCAAUGAAAAUAUGCUGAAAACCCGAAAGGCCAGAGUGCCUCUUCUCCAAAUGAUCACAGUGUCUCUCCAGCAAGGGCACAGAACUGGAUGGAGGAUGAGAUGGAUGAAUUGAACGAAGAAGGGUUGGGAAGAUGGGUAAUAAAAAACAAUGCUGAGCUGAAGUAGCAUGUUCUAACCCAAUGCAAAGAAGCUAAGAACCUUAAUAAAAGGAUAGAGAAGAUGCUGACUAGAAUAACCAGUUUAAGUAGGAACAUAAAUGACCUGAUGGAGCUGAAAAACACAGAACAAGAACUUCAUGAAACAUAUACAAGUAUCAAAAGCCAAAUUGACUAAGUGGAAGAAAGGAUGUCAGAGUUUGAAGGCCACCUUGCUGAAAUAAGGCAUGCAGACAAGAUUAGAGAAAAAAGAAUGAAAAGAAAUGAACAAAGCCUCCAAGAAAUAUGAGACUUCAUAAAAAGACCAAAGCUGUGAUUGACUGGAGUACCUGAAGGAGAUGGAGAGAAUGGAAACAAACUGGGAAACACACUUCAGGAUAUUAACCAGGGAAACUUCCCCAACCUAGCAAGACAAGCCAACCUGAAAAUUCAAGAAAUACAGAGAAAACCACUAAGAUACUCCAUGAGAAGAUCAACCCAACACACAUAAUUAUCAGAUUCUAUAAGGCCAAAAUGAAGGAAAAACUGUUAAGGACAGCCAGAGUGAAAGGCCAGGUCACCUACAAAGGGAAACCCAUCAGACUAACAGCAGACUUCUCAGCAGAAACUCUACAAGCCAGAAGAGAUUGGGAACCAAUAUUCAACAUUCUUAAAAAAGAAUUGUCAACCCAGAAUUUCACAUCCAGCCAAACUGAGCUUCAUAAGUGAUGGAAAAAUAAAAUCCUUCCCAGACAAGCAAAUGCUGAGGGAUUUUGUUACCACCAGGCCUGCCUUACAAGAGCUCCUGAAAGAAGCACUAAAUAUGGAAAGGAAAAACCAGUACCAGCCCUUGCAAAAACACACCAAAAUAUAAAGACCAAUCACACUAUGAAGAAACUGCAUCAACUAGUGUGAAAAAUAACCAGAUGGUAUCAUGGUGACAGGAUCAGAUUCACACAUAAUAAUAC
rnacentral:lncRNA from 10 species